UACGAAGGGGGCUAGCGUUGCUCGGAAUUACUGGGCAUAAAGGGUGCGUAGGCGGCUUGUUAAGUCAGGGGUGAAAGUUUUCGGCCCAACCGGAAAAUUGCCUUUGAUACUGGCGAGCUCGAGUGCGUGAGGGGUAACCGGAACGAGCAGUGUAGCGGUGAAAUGCGUAGAUAUUGCUCGGAAGGCCAACGGCGAAGGCAGGUUACUGGUACGCAACUGACGCUGAGGCGCGAAAGCGUGGGGAGCAAACAGG
rnacentral:rRNA from 1 species